GUCCACGUAUUUGUUACUACGGCCUAAAGGAAUUACUCACGUGAGACGCUUACGGCCGAGGUCACGUGGGGUUCAAAGCAGAAGUAACUUGCUAGCGAAGAACAUGGAAACUCAUCAGGUGCAGAGACGAGCAGACGGCCCAAAGAGCAGAAGAGCGAGCACGCCGAUGUGAACCGUAUCGAGACCGCAGUUGACGGCUGAACACCUUUGAUCCCGCAUGCGAGAGCGAUGAACUUUGGGUUUCGUGUGAAAGAGUAGGAAAAUCGAUAUUGUAAAGCCUCAUUUGUUAAAGCGUGGUGUGAACUGUGUCAAGAUUCAGAAACCUGCAUGAGAGAUAAAGUCCUUGAAGAUGAAGGUGAAUCAGAGAGAUCAGAGAUGUUAAGAGAGACACCGGGGUUUCUGAUAAACCCCUGGAAGGGAUAAGGCGAGGCACGUACGACACGAGAGGUACAAAAGGCACGGAAGGCACGGUAGAAAAGUGACACGACACACCCCGGGAUUGCUCUGUCCUGCGCACCUCAGCACUGUGAGCCAAAGUCUUGGACUUCGACUUAGCUCUCAUAUGCGUGGGGACGAGAAGCCACGUGGGGCACAAGGGAAGGCCGCCUCACCGUCUGGCACGUUUCUGGCAGGCUGUUGUCUCUUGGACAGGUACAAUAAAGAAAACCAAAUAUCAGUGCAAGAUCUUAGCAGCACAUCUGUGAAAACCCAACACUCACGGUCUCCUGACAAUGGCUGGGUCCUUCGCCUGCAUGCUUCAGCCCCGCUGGGAUGCUGAGGCUUGCGGAGCGAAACUCUUCAAGCGGUAUUGCUGUGGAUCCGAAUGAACCGCCGCCUCGAUGAGGUUUGGGAGCCUCCCCGGUUGCGGAUGAACGGGGAGCCCG